GACGAACGCUGGCGGCAUGCUUAACACAUGCAAGUCGAACGGAACGGCCCUGCCUUUGUGCGCUGCUCGAGUUGCGACCGGGGGAGCAACACGUGGGUAACCUGCCCUUGCCCGUGGGAUAACUUAAGGAAAGUGGGGCUAAUACCGGCAAGGAGUUCCCGCUGCAUGGUGGGGGUUGGAAAGUUUCGGCGGUUGGGGAUGGACUCGCGGCUUAUCAGCUCGUUGGUGGGGUAGUGGCUUACCAAGGCUUUGACGGGUAGCAGGCCUGCGAGGGUGACCGGCCACAUUGGGACUGAGAUACGGCCCAGACUCGUACGGGAGGCAGCAGUGGGGAAUAUUGCACAAUGGGCGGAAGCCUGAUGCAGCAACGCCGCGUGCGGGAUGACGGCCUUCGGGUUGUAAACCGCUUUCGCCUGUGACGAAGCGUGAGUGACGGUAAUGGGUAAAGAAGCACCGGCUAACUACGUG
rnacentral:rRNA from 1 species